CUGAGGAUUCCAUCACAGGGGAGUGCUUGUGUCAUGUACAAAGCCUUGGAGAAUGAGUGUCACCUCCAGGCUGAACUCCAAGUCUCUGUCUGACUCCAUACGAGAGGAGCUCCAGCCCUCUGGCAAACUUUGUGGCCUCCUCUGGAUUUGCUCCAACACGAGGAGCACAAGCUCUGAAUCCCUCUGCCAUGUAGAGAAAAGCAAUUUUUCAUGACAACAACCAGGUCAGAGUUGACUAAACUCACAGAUUUGGAUCCAGACCCCUAGAAGAGCAGCUUGGAGCCCUGCCAGCUGUAUGGAUGUGCCAUUUGUGGGCACUGCUUUUAAGCCUCUUGCAGCGAGUGGGAGGAACCUUAUCAUUAAGCAGUUUGUUGCACGUGCUUCAUAUUCAUUGCAAAGGUUGAUAGCUUUAAAAGAAAAGUGCUGACAGCAAACUUCAGCUUCCAGGGUAGGAAAUUUAAAAUUUAAAAACAAAACCUGCAGCAAUGAAACUCUUGCCUGAUAAUUGCACUGUUUGGCUUUUGGCAGCUCUGAUUUUGGCUUUGUUGCACAUGUAUCUCUCCAUAGCAGGACUGUCCUGCAGGUCUGAGUUACUUUCUCUCCCAGAGGUACUGUUUACAUUACUCUGGAGCUACUCAGUGCUAUCAAAGCAGUGCAAUCAGUGGGAGCUUGAAACGUGUAUCCCGAAUUCAGAGAAAGGGUUUUAAAUAACUGGCCAUGCUUCACUGCAUCCAAACUAGGGUUAAGCAGGGAUUAUUUAGCAGCACUAGAAAACACUUCUGCUCAGCUGGUGAGUAAAAGAAGAGACCAGUUUGUGCUGAGUGUUUAAUGCUGCCUUGGAGGCACAGAUGGGAGCCAGAUGGAAUAGACAAUUUUCUACUCGGACCUGCAAGAUGAAUCUGAAUAUGCACAUGUCCAAUAAUCAUACCCUGUAAACACUCUGCUAGCAUGUGCAGGUAGAGAUAACCUCCCUGGUACCUCCCUCCUGUGCAUGGUACCUGUUGAAAGCCCAGCUCUGGAGGUUGCCACUAUUACUGGAAAAUGUCCAUAGCCUGAACACUGGGAGCAGCUACCUAUGUCAGCACCCACUGGGGUUCAAUUGCAGGUGGAGCUAGGGUGAGUAUCCAAGGAGAUUUUUUAGCAUAUAUUUUGGGUUGCUGCUUCCUCCUCCAGGAUAGGUGCCUUGAGGGUCCUGGUAUUGUGGGAUCUCAUCUGUAAUGGGGUGUAGCGUCCCAGCAUCUCUGUGGUAGCUUGAAGCAAAUCAAAUACAUCUCUUUUUUUCCUACUUCAUAGAAGACUUCCAAGGGUGUAAGGAGCCUAAAACCAGCUGAGGCAUUUUUAAGUUCUGAAAUUCUAUUCUAAACAUUUUCAGAACAUUAAAAAAAAAUAUUUCUAGUCUUUUAGAGGGUUUGUUUUAUAUGCUUUUUGUUGUUCAUGCAUUAUUUUAUGAGACAGCAGUCAAAUCAAUGACUUGUCAUAAUAGGACAUUAUUGCUGAAACAUUCUCUUAUUUUAAUGCCAUUUAUAAAAAUCAGCAACUAUGACUGAUCAGUGCUGAUUAAAAUACAUAAUCUUCUUUCCUGUAUCGAGAUGUCUCUGCUGUUUGGAGUAGUGAUGGAAGGGAUGGGUGUUUUGUUUGUUGUAAGCUUCCUGUGCACUGGAGAGGUUUAGAAAGCUAUGGUCAGGUCAUGAGCUGUUGGUUGUCUGCAGCUAGCACAAAGCCUGUGCAUAUUCCACACUGAGUGCCCUGGAUAAUUUUCCAGAAAUCAAACUUAGGGCCUGUUUCUGAUACAUGCACCACAGACUUGCUAGGUGAGCGGAUAAUGCCAUACCCAUUAUCAAUGGCCAAGAAAUGCCAAGAUGAACUCAAUCCCCUCUCUAAAACAAUAUUGCCUUUUGUUUGCAAGACACAUGCGUUUGUACUUGUGAGCUGUUCAGGUAUUGGGGGAGGAAAGAGCCAGUGUAGUUGUGCGGUUUGGUGUCCUGUGAGCACAGUGUUUUGCAUUGUCUGGAGGUCAACGUCCAGAGUGAGGCAUUAUCUGAAAUACUGACAAUGCAUUGCUGAGUGUCUCACUCAGCAGUGCAAGCUGAGUGGGACAACACAAGUAAGCAACCCUUUACUCCUCAUAGAUCAGAGAUACUAUGCCAUGUUAGUAUUGCCCUUUAUUUCUUGGAUGUGAAGCAUGGGGCUGAGUGGAUGCUUCCUUACUGCAUUCUUGGCGAGUGUAGAAUGAUGUCUGGUACAGCUAUAUGCUCUUGACUCCAUCGCUGUGUUUUUUGAAGUGAAUGAUAGCAUGAGCAAGAUGAACAUAUAUUUGUGGUUGUCUUUCAGAGGCUGCACCGCGAUGAGAAUUUGAGCUGUUCAAAGGCAUCUAAAUGAGACAUAUGUAAUUGAUCGCGACACUUGUGUUCCCACUGUAAGCAAUGCCCCUCUUGUCUCCUGGCUCAGUAGCUUUCUUUGAUUUCAUGCGAAUCUGUCACCUGCUUCUGUGAUACAUUUCCUCAUUUGCAAAAAGAGGUCUUGCUGCUACACUAAUCUGCUUCUCGUGUUCUCCAUUUUCAUUUUUAGCCCUUUUGCUGUUUCAUUGUUUUUGGGGCAUAGGUGGAGUGAGUGCUGGGCAUUGGUCUCUGUGGAGUUAUGGAAGAGCAAGGUCAAAACAUGACACCAGUUCCACUUCUUGUACCUUUUCCAAGAGAGCCCUCCUGGGGCUCUUUCUGUUCCACCUUGGGUUAUGAAAAACAGUGCCUUUUUUUUUGACUUAAAAUGCAAAAGUAGGCACUACAUCUUGUCUCCUAAGAAAAAUGCAUGCUCUGAUUUAAAAAUGCCCUUGUGUCACAAUUUGUCCCUUUGAGCUCAGCUCUGUAUGAGUUUUUCAUAUUAAAAUAGUUGUUAUUUAUUAAAUCCCUGAUAAAGCUACACUUAAAGCUCCCAUUAUAGAAUAUGCAUCUUUAAAUCUGCUGAAUAUGUGGUUUGUCACUGAUGCAAAGUGUACUGAUUAAUUAAAUAAGACUUAGAGAUUCAUAAAGCAAUUGCUCCAAAAUGAAAUGUUAUUUACAUCUAAGUAUAUUAACGAUUAUGGAAACUUAAUUUCUCCCUUACACA